AUCAUUCUGUCAUUCCCUGUUGUGCAUUUUAGUGGAGAUGAUGGUGACAGAUGAAAAUUCUUUGAAAGAAGGAUUGCCUCUGUGAUUCAGCUCAAACGUAACUUGUUUUGCAUUGUCAGAUAACAAUGCUGACUGGGGCAAUGGAAAAAUAAACACGGACGGGGCAGUAGUGGAAAAGUCCAUCACUCAGUUUCUACCAAUAAUAAAUAAAUGGAGAAAAAUAUAUAUUCAUUACAUGGUUGAAAGACCCGAAGCCCAUAACAUUUAGAAAUGCAAUUUCCAAACAUCCUGUGAACAUUUUCAGAAGCUGUAGCUGAAUAUCAAUAGGAUAUUUGUUCAUCCCCAAAGUCAUGUUCGUAUUCUUUUUUUCUUCCCCAUGUUUCAGUCUGGCAUACUUCCUUGAAUGACGCAGCUGAACAUAAACCUUGACCAAGUGUGGGUGGGGGCUGCUGUAAAGUUGACAAGCAUAUGGGAGAAGAGAAACUGGUGAAACAGUGUCUGUCAUGGAGAGACCACCCACAAUGAGUAAAAUCUGCUGAUGAAGAGAGGCCAGCCGGUACCUGGAGCUCUCUUGAGCGGAUCACUUAAAUUGGACUGGACUGGUAGAGCUCAUAAAGGCCUUCAAACCAAAUAAGCAAAGGGAAAAAAAAAGCUGCCAGGGAAGCUACUGGUAUUUGCUAAAUGAUUUUCACUUACUAGUCUACUUAUAAAAUUGACUCCCUCACUCAGUGUACUCUCCUACUGCUGUGCUCAUCUAGGGGAAGGGUUGGGAAGAAACUUGGAAGAUCUGUUGACCUUCCAUUCCUAUUGGAUAAAUGGCUCCUUCUUUCUCCAAAGUGAAUCCAUACAGUGACCAGGGAAAGAGAGAGACAGGAUAAGAAGUACAAUAAGCUUGAGGUAAAUAGGAAUAUCAGGCUGUUACCUACUUCUGUUUGUUUAACUGAGUUUACCUGUGAGCAGGGUCUUGGAUUACAAAGUAAAGGAACUAUGUAGGGUAGCAUAGGAAGUAGGGUUGGUUGAGAAAGAGUCAGAGGCUCUGCUGGGUGAUAAGGCAGAAGAACUCUGCGACAUAGAGAAGCUGUUCAUCAUGGAGGAUUCUGUGGUUAUAAAGCCGUGUCCCUGAAACACUUCAGGCUCAGGAUGCAGAAUUUGUUUUCCCCUGUACUGGACCUUUAACUCAGGAGCGUCUGUUCUGUGCUGAAAACACUAGCUACCAUCUGUAUGUUGUAGUGUCACUUCCCUGGUAUGGGG